rnacentral:ncRNA from 1 species
AAGCCACAGCUGCGCGGCGUCUGAGGGCUUCGUGCCCAAAAUGCUAUGCUUCGGCCGGCACAAAACAGUCAACUCAGAACUGGCACGGACCGGGGGAAUCCGACUGUCUAAUUAAAACAAAGCUUUGCGAUGGCCGCUGGUCGGUGUUGACGCAAUGUGAUUUCUGCCCAGUGCUCAGAAUGUCAUCGUGAAGAGAUUCAUCAAAGCGCGGGUAAACGGCGGGAGUAACUAUGACUCUCUUUGGGACGUAAGCCUGCGGGGUGUAAUGCCCUGCUCGAAGUCAACCCUCACGUGCUCGUCGUACGUCCUGCCAAUCGGGGAGCUCGCUCUCCCGAUUGCAACGAGGGCUCUGGCGACCUUUCGGGGAGAACUGGGUUGCC